AUUGAACGCUGGCGGCAUGCCUUACACAUGCAAGUCGAACGGCAGCGGACCUUCGGGUGCCGGCGAGUGGCGAACGGGUGAGUAAUAUAUCGGAACGUACCUUUCAGUGGGGGAUAACGUAGCGAAAGUUACGCUAAUACCGCAUAUUCUGUGAGCAGGAAAGCAGGGGAUCGCAAGACCUUGCGCUGAUUGAGCGGCCGAUAUCAGAUUAGCUAGUUGGUGAGGUAAAGGCCUACCAAGGCGACGAUCAGUAGCGGGUCUGAGAGGAUGAUCCGCCACACUGGGACUGAGACACGGCCCAGACUCCUACGGGAGGCAGCAGUGGGGAAUUUUGGACAAUGGGGGCAACCCUGAUCCAGCCAUUCCGCGUGAGUGAAGAAGGCCUCGGUUGUAAGCGUACUUCUAGCUGAGUGAAACGGUAGCGCGUCUAA
rnacentral:rRNA from 1 species